ACGGACCCGAAAGGUUGAACCUAUUAAGACAGCUCGAGAAGGUCAAGCAGAUGCAAAAUGAAACAGAGCCUGAGGAAGGCAUCGAUGAAGCAGAAUCAUGAACAGAUUCAAGAUGCAAAAAUCAGUUUAUACAUCACCUUGUUCUAUAUAAUUUAUUGACAAGAGAGGUGUGCAUAGAGAAUCUCGUUCCAUAUGUCUGUGUACGCCUGGUAGGCACCAGUGGCUUCAAUGUUGAGGAGCAUCAGCAGGAGUACCACUUGAGGACCAUCUUUCCUAUACUCUUGUCAGAUAUGUAAAAAUGUUGAGAAACUUAAAACCUUAAUAUGUUGAUAUCUCAUAUCUUCUUCAGUUACUUCAUAGAUAAAUUUGUAUCAGGUUCCUUUUGUCAGUCCAUUACAUGGUGUCGAUCAAAUACAUUUUUGACUAAACCAGAGAACAUAAGAUAUCUCUUAUCUCGUAUACUGUUUACUCUUUGUUACAGCGGUAGCUGCAAGAGGCGGCAUGGAGACUUUAAGAGCAUGAUUAUUGGGAGGUUCUUAGGGUGGAGUUCUUAGCGGAAUAUAAGAAUCCGUCUCUUAAUUUUUAACUAAAAAAACUAAGAAUCGUCUCUUAAAACUCUUAUUUAAGAGCCGGUUCAUAGUUUUUUUAGUUAAAAGUUAAGAUGCAUGUUCUUAUAUUUCGCUAAGAAUCUUACCUUAAGAACUAUCCAAUAAUGAUGCUUUUAUGACUCAUUCACACUAUUGUUUUGCUCAAAAAAGAAAAAAAAACACUGUAUUGUUAGGCUUUUAAUGGGCUUUUAUAGGCCCAUAUUAUUAACGGGAUCUCGUGAAAUCAGUACCUUAUCCAUGGAAGCUAGGCUGGCAAGAUAUUGCCACUUACAAGGUAAUGAAUCAUGCUUACAAAACAACCGUUGAACUUCUUAGGUUGGUUGAGUAGUAAAAACACAUUUUUUGCAGCCCCCCGAAGAUGCUUUGUUCGCACACCCGAGGCUGUUCAGAGCUUGUGUUCCAACUUCACCUGGAAUGCACCGUUUCAGAGGCAACAUUUGGGAUUUCGACAGAAAACCUAAAGUCAUGCAGGCCUUAGGUUACCCUUACCGAUGAAUGAUAUAAUCCAAGAGAUAACCGAAGCUAGAAACAUCGAACUUGGACUCGGUUUACAGGUAAAAGAGCCAUUCACUUUCUCAUGCAACUAUGUUACUUUCCUUAUCUGACCGUUCUUUUCACUUCCCCCAGCUCUGCUUUUUGCAUCCUUCAAAGCACAAGUUCGAACACCCUCGGUUUUGUUUCGAGAGAAUAGAAUACGUGGGCCAGAAGAUACAGAUGAUAUUGCAGGACACAUAGCAAUGGCGGAGCGUUUGUUAAUGAAGCACCUGGACGCACCAGUUCGUUAAUGAACAAGUUCUGCGGUAGGUAUCUCAGGGAGAAACGUCAUCACAACUUUAUAAUCUACUCGGAGGAUGUUCAUGAUCGGAAUGAGCAUAACCGGAGACUUAGAAACCCAGCAACAACCGCUGUUCAACAAGCCAUUCACGCCCUAGCUUAGACUAUCUACGGCAAACCUGAUGUUCGGAGGCUCCUGUUUGAGGUUUUUGACUUCGAACAGAUUCAACCUAAAGCUGUCUGAAAAAGUCUCUCACUCUUUUGGCUUCAUGUAUUUUUAGUUUGCUUUCUUUUUUUGGAUUUGGUGUCUUUAGUUAAUUCUCCCUCGUUCAUGAAAAUAGAAGUUUUACAUUUUAAGAAUAAAUCUAGAAUUUCAAAAGUAACCCAUUUUCAAUAAUUUUUUUUAUUAUUUUAAUAUUAAUUGUUUUAGUUAAUGUGGACAAAAAUUGUAAAUAAAUUUAAAAGUUACAUUGAAAACAGAAAAAAAUUAUAUUUAUGAAACGAAUAAAAUAUUCUAAAUUUCUAUCUAAAACAGAGGGAGCAACUUUUAUUGUGUUUCAAAAAAAAAAUUAAUAACUUUUAUUUAUUUAUAUUUUUCCACAGUAAAAACUGUCUUAUGAAACGUAGUAGCUGAGGUCUAGAGCCAACUACACCUGUAGAUGGGGCAGUAUUCUCUCACAGUAUCAACACAUGCAAACAUGAGGAAGUCCAUUUGAUUACGUGGUCGCAUGCUCACCUUGGCCUUCCACGUAACACGAACCCCAUGCGGUUUCUGAUUCUUAACCUAAUUAUUAUUUGGUAUAAUAAACAAUUCAAUAUAUAUAUGUUGAUUUUAAAUGGUUAUUUUACUGUAGUUUUAUAUUCACCUGGCUCCUGAGUAGUAUUCUAGGUGUGUGUGUGGUGCUAAUUAACGUUCCAACGUGUCAAAAUAUAAUCACACGAUUUGCAUAAUGUUUAUGAUAAAUGUGUUAUGAGAUUGACCUGGUACUUAAACUUCUUCUUAUAACCAAAUGAUUUGGUACUCCCAAAGUAAGUUAACAAAGAUCUUUAUAUCUAUAUGUUUUUUUUUUUCUGGCAACAAACCCUUUUAUUACUCAAGCUUCAAGGUGGUCUGGGUAACUAGAGCGGAAUAGAACAACCGGUAAAACAAAGAUAUCUAUGAAAAAAACGUGCAUUCCUAGCUAACGAGUCUGCAAUCUCAUUUUGCGUCCCUGGAAACCGGUCCGUCGCUGAGGACGCUUCUCCAGACUACAAUUCGAACGCCGAAGACAUCCGAUUUUCAAGCUGGGCUCUUCCCGGUUCGCUCGCCGUUACUAAGGGAAUCCUUGGAGACUCAAUUAGGUUUAGACGAAGAACUGAUCACCAAAACGAUCGAUUUGGUAUUACUAUUUCUUCGCAAAACUUUAAUGUAAAUAUCUUGAUAGUUUAUCCGGACCGCUUACCGUUGCCUUGCAGGUUUUGGAAAGAGAUUUAGCUAUUUUUGGAUUCUUCAUUGCCUUAGGCAGGAGCACCCAGUCUUUUUUAGCUGCAAAUGGUUUUGAUGCGCUGGAGAAUCCUAUGGAAGACCUUGUCAGGUGACUCAUUAUUUUCUUCUGUUGGCUUCCCAUACUCUUCGUUCCACACUACCACUUUAACUCGCAAUCUUCUUUGUGCAGGCACUUCAUUGGGGGCAGUCUCCUGCAAUAUCCUCAACUUUCAGCCAUCAGUUCGUACCAGUUGUAUGUAGAGGUAGGCAUAAAUCAUACCGUCAUUGGUGGAAUUAUCCUUUAACCAUUUUGAAAUCUUAUCAUGGAAAUUCAUAGUGUAGGUUGUCUGUGAAGAACUAGAGUGGCUCCCUUUCUAUCCAAAUAAAAAGGACUCGCAGGCAGCCAAACAAGCACAUGGGCAUAGAAGCAGACCAGAAGGGCCACCUAAUUAUGAUGCUCUUCCUCAAAUAUUGAAUGUUUGCUCUUAUUGGCUACAGAGCUUUAUUAAAUACAGUAAAUGGCCAGAAAACCCAUCAAAUGUCAAGGCAGCAAAAUUCUUAUCCACAGGGUAUCUUACUUGUUUCUUAUCAAAUUUUUGGAUAGUUAGUGAAUUAGUCCGCCAUCAUAUUUACUUUAUUCUCAACUUUUAGGCACAAGAAGUUAAUUCAGUGCAAGGAAGAACUGGGGAUAUCAAGGUAAGCAAACAGAUCGAUAAAUGGGAUAGAAAGACGUUGUGUAUCCAACUCUGUGCACUCUGCAUUUUUGCACCAUUAUUAAAAAUCAAAUGAUUUAAUAGCUUUUAAUUGGAUAAUGUGUGAUGCAGUUUGGCAGUAGCAGAAGCAGGGUUUAUUGACAUGAAUGCAUUAUCAACUGAAGAGUCAAGCUCAUUUGACAAGGUCGGUAUUCUCUGUAUUAGUCAUGAAAUUUUACUUUACUUUUUCCGUACACCAAUUGAAUCCAGAUUUUUGUUUAGCACUCCAGUGACUAUCAAAUGUAAUAUAGCUACUGACAGCACUUGUUUCCCAGGCUCUAGAGAGUGUAGAUGAAGCUCUGGUGAGACUGGAAAGCUUGCUACAGCAGUUGCAUUCAUCAAGCUCAUCCUCUGGAAAGGAACAAAUAAAAGCUGCUUGCUCUGACCUAGAGAAAAUAAGGAAGCUGAAGAAAGAGGCUGAAUUUUUAGAGGCAUCUUUCAGAGCCAAAGCAGCUUCCCUGCAAGAGGUGUGUAGUUGUUAUAUCAUACCUUUCCUCAUGCAGUUUGGAUUGAUAUUCAAGUGCUGAUACUGGAGUUUGCUAGACUAACCGAAGAUACACCAACAUUUACCCUUUUUACGAAGUGUAGCAUCAGUUUUGGUGCCUGUAAUAUGAAAACAAAGAUGAUGAGUGCAUUUCGUUUUAUUAAACGUGUGUGGAUGACUAAAAUCUCAUGUGGUUCACUCAGGGAGGUGGUGACAGCGACUCUCAGGGGUCCUCUGAGGAACAAAAACAGAAGCUAAAAGGAAAAGACAAAAAGAAUUCAAUCAGCUCUGUAGAUCAAGGCACAAGGUAUGUUGCAUGUUCUGUUAUUCAAUAAUAUCAUCUGUGGUUUGAGUAUAUGUUGUAGGUUCCCCUUCGUUCUCUUCUGGUUGCAGAAACGUAUUUAUUCUUUUCCAUCUAUAUUAGUAGGAGUCGUGGAUUCUGGGGUUUCUUUGAGCGCCCUCCAAGGAAGAAGCCUGCCCCCAAGGUGUUCUUUAAUUUCUUAUCUAAUGCGAAGCAUAUCUUAUACCUAAUAUUUUUGGGAAUAUUUCUGCUUAUUCAGUUUUCACCCCGUCAGAAGAUACUUUGUUAAAAGGUUUCAGUUUUUUUCGCAAUAAGCAGGUAGAUGAAUAUACUGAGAGAUCCAGAGAAAACGUAGAUAGCGUUGAUUCCGAAUCCAAUGAGAUAUAUCGGUUCGAACUUCUAAGGAAUGAACUGAUAGAGCUGGAGAAGCGGGUCCAAGGAAGUACAGAUGAGUCGGUAAAGGAAGAGGUUAGUAAUUAGUAACCAGACUUUGUAUGUGUUCUUUCUUUCAUGGUUAAAGCUUUUACGAUGGUAGCAGAUGAUCAUUUGCGUCUAUCUCACAUCACUUUGUUCCUUGGCAAUCAAUUUGGCACGUUCUGCAGGGAGGGGAUCCUCCUAAAUCAAGCAGUAGUAUGAAAGGUGUGGAGUUGGUUCAAAGCUCAAAGAAAGAAAGCGUCAUUGAGAAAACACUCGACCAAAUCAAAGAAACAAGCACAGUAUGAAAGUCAUUCCAAGUCUCAUGGCACCUGCAGCUUCUUUUUGUCUACUUCAUGAUUUAAUUACUAAAAUUUCGCUUUACUGUGAUUUUUUUGAUAGGACGUGUGGCAAGGUACGCAGCUUCUUGCAUUUGAUUCAGCUGCUGCUAUGGAGCUGCUUCGAAGGUCUGUAAUAGGAGAUGAACUAACAGAGAAAGAAAAGAAAGCUCUGCGCAGAACUGUGACUGACUUAGCAUCAGUUGUUCCUAUUGGUGUUCUUAUGCUUCUUCCUGUGAGUAAAAACUAACCUCAUCAGAUUCACAAAUAUCAUACUUCCAUCCGCAUUGGUUGUUCAUCCUUGUAAAGAAGUUUCUGUUUCACAACUUAUCAUUGGCACCAAAGUCGUUCCCCUUCGUUCUCUUCUGGUUGCAGAAACGUAUUUAUUCUUUUCCAUCUAUAUUAGUAGGAGUCGUGGAUUCUGGGGUUUCUUUGAGCGCCCUCCAAGGAAGAAGCCUGCCCCCAAGGUGUUCUUUAAUUUCUUAUCUAAUGCGAAGCAUAUCUUAUACCUAAUAUUUUUGGGAAUAUUUCUGCUUAUUCAGUUUUCACCCCGUCAGAAGAUACUUUGUUAAAAGGUUUCAGUUUUUUUCGCAAUAAGCAGGUAGAUGAAUAUACUGAGAGAUCCAGAGAAAACGUAGAUAGCGUUGAUUCCGAAUCCAAUGAGAUAUAUCGGUUCGAACUUCUAAGGAAUGAACUGAUAGAGCUGGAGAAGCGGGUCCAAGGAAGUACAGAUGAGUCGGUAAAGGAAGAGGUUAGUAAUUAGUAACCAGACUUUGUAUGUGUUCUUUCUUUCAUGGUUAAAGCUUUUACGAUGGUAGCAGAUGAUCAUUUGCGUCUAUCUCACAUCACUUUGUUCCUUGGCAAUCAAUUUGGCACGUUCUGCAGGGAGGGGAUCCUCCUAAAUCAAGCAGUAGUAUGAAAGGUGUGGAGUUGGUUCAAAGCUCAAAGAAAGAAAGCGUCAUUGAGAAAACACUCGACCAAAUCAAAGAAACAAGCACAGUAUGAAAGUCAUUCCAAGUCUCAUGGCACCUGCAGCUUCUUUUUGUCUACUUCAUGAUUUAAUUACUAAAAUUUCGCUUUACUGUGAUUUUUUUGAUAGGACGUGUGGCAAGGUACGCAGCUUCUUGCAUUUGAUUCAGCUGCUGCUAUGGAGCUGCUUCGAAGGUCUGUAAUAGGAGAUGAACUAACAGAGAAAGAAAAGAAAGCUCUGCGCAGAACUGUGACUGACUUAGCAUCAGUUGUUCCUAUUGGUGUUCUUAUGCUUCUUCCUGUGAGUAAAAACUAACCUCAUCAGAUUCACAAAUAUCAUACUUCCAUCCGCAUUGGUUGUUCAUCCUUGUAAAGAAGUUUCUGUUUCACAACUUAUCAUUGGCACCAAAGUCGCUUCACCGUUAAUUUUAACUAAUCUAAUGGGUACGCGUAUGUCAAACAGGUCACAGCAGUGGGUCAUGCGGCUAUGCUUGCCGCAAUUCAAAGAUAUGUACCAGGCUUGGUAAUACUUUUUUUUUUAAUACUUGCUUUGCUCUCCUGUAUUAUUUUUCUAUCUCUGUUCCCUAAGUUGACAAACAUCCGUCUUUGUUCAGAUACCUUCGACCUACGGACCCGAAAGGUUGAACCUAUUAAGACAGCUCGAGAAGGUCAAGCAGAUGCAAAAUGAAACAGAGCCUGAGGAAGGCAUCGAUGAAGCAGAAUCAUGAACAGAUUCAAGAUGCAAAAAUCAGUUUAUACAUCACCUUGUUCUAUAUAAUUUAUUGACAAGAGAGGUGUGCAUAGAGAAUCUCGUUCCAUAUGUCUGUGUACGCCUGGUAGGCACCAGUGGCUUCAAUGUUGAGGAGCAUCAGCAGGAGUACCACUUGAG
rnacentral:lncRNA from 1 species